rnacentral:tRNA from 1 species
GCACUGGUCGUCUAGCGGCCAAGACACCGCUCCCGUAAAGCGGUUACGUGGGUUCGAGUCCCACCCGGUGCU